GACGUAGGGCGCGAGCGUUGUCCGGAUUUAUUGGGCGUAAAGAGCUCGUAGGCGGCUCGUUGCGUCGGCUGUGAAAACCCGCAGCUCAACUGUGGGCUUGCAGCUGAUACGGGCAGGCUGGAGUUCGGUAGGGGAGACUGGAAUUCCUGGUGUAGCGGUGAAAUGCGCAGAUAUCAGGAGGAACACCGGUGGCGAAGGCGGGUCUCUGGGCCGAUACUGACGCUGAGGAGCGAAAGCGUGGGGAGCGAACAGG
rnacentral:rRNA from 1 species